CGUGUAGGCGGUUGUGUAAGUCAGACGUGAAAUCCUUUGGCUUAACUGAAGAACUGCGUCUGAAACUGCAUGACUAGAGUGCAGAAGAGGGAAACGGAAUUCCUGGUGUAGAGGUGAAAUUCGUAGAUAUCAGGAGGAACACCGGUGGCGAAGGCGGUUUCCUGGUCUGACACUGACGCUGAGGCGCGAAAGCGUGGGGAGCAAACAGGAUUAGAUACCCUGGUAGUCCACGCCGUAAACGGUGGGUACUGGGUGUGGGAGGUGUAAUGCCUUCUGUGCCGAAGCUAACGCGUUAAGUACCCCGCCUGGGGAGUACGGCCGCAAGGUUGAA
rnacentral:rRNA from 1 species